GUCGAGCGAAUGGAUUAAGAGCUUGCUCUUAUGAAGUUAGCGGCGGACGGGUGAGUAACACGUGGGUAACCUGCCCAUAAGACUGGGAUAACUCCGGGAAACCGGGGCUAAUACCGGAUAACAUUUUGAACUGCAUGGUUCGAAAUUGAAAGGCGGCUUCGGCUGUCACUUAUGGAUGGACCCGCGUCGCAUUAGCUAGUUGGUGAGGUAACGGCUCACCAAGGCAACGAUGCGUAGCCGACCUGAGAGGGUGAUCGGCCACACUGGGACUGAGACACGGCCCAGACUCCUACGGGAGGCAGCAGUAGGGAAUCUUCCGCAAUGGACGAAAGUCUGACGGAGCAACGCCGCGUGAGUGAUGAAGGCUUUCGGGUCGUAAAACUCUGUUGUUAGGGAAGAACAAGUGCUAGUUGAAUAAGCUGGCACCUUGACGGUACCUAACCAGAAAGCCACGGCUAACUACGUGCCAGCAGCCGCGGUAAUACGUAGGUGGCAAGCGUUAUCCGGAAUUAUUGGGCGUAAAGCGCGCGCAGGUGGUUUCUUAAGUCUGAUGUGAAAGCCCACGGCUCA
rnacentral:rRNA from 1 species